ACACUCCUGCGGGAGGCAGCAGUGAGGAAUAUUGGACAAUGGGUGGAAGCCUGAUCCAGCCAUCCCGCGUGCAGGAAGACGGCCCUAUGGGUUGUAAACUGCUUUUAUCUGGGGAUAAACCUACUUACGUGUAAGUAGCUGAAGGUACCAGAAGAAUAAGCACCGGCUAACUCCGUGCCAGCAGCCGCGGUAAUACGGAGGGUGCAAGCGUUAUCCGGAUUUAUUGGGUUUAAAGGGUCCGUAGGCGGACUGAUAAGUCAGUGGUGAAAUCCGACAGCUUAACUGUCGAACUGCCAUUGAUACUGUUAGUCUUGAGUAAGGUUGAAGUGGCUGGAAUAAGUAGUGUAGCGGUGAAAUGCAUAGAUAUUACUUAGAACACCAAUUGCGAAGGCAGGUCACUAAGUCUUAACUGACGCUGAUGGACGAAAGCGUGGGGAGCGAACAGGAAUAGAAACCCUAGUAGUCCCA
rnacentral:rRNA from 1 species